rnacentral:rRNA from 1 species
GCGUGUGUGAAGAAGGCCUUCGGGUUGUAAACUGCUUUUGUACGGAGCGAAAAGGUCUUCCCUAAUACGGGAGGCUGAUGACGGUACCGUAAGAAUAAGCACCGGCUAACUACGUGCCAGCAGCCGCGGUAAUACGUAGGGUGCGAGCGUUAAUCGGAAUUACUGGGCGUAAAGCGUGCGCAGGCGGUUUUGUAAGACAGGCGUGAAAUCCCCGGGCUCAACCUGGGAAUGGCGCUUGUGACUGCAAAGCUGGAGUGCGGCAGAGGGGGAUGGAAUUCCGCGUGUAGCAGUGAAAUGCGU